UACGGAGGGAGCUAGCGUUGUUCGGAAUUACUGGGCGUAAAGCGCGCGUAGGCGGCUUUUGUAAGUUAGAGGUGAAAGCCCCGGAGCUCAAUCCGGAACUGCCUUUAAGACUGCAUCGCUUGAAUCCAGGAGAGGUGAGUGGAAUUCCGAGUGUAGAGGUGAAAUUCGUAGAUAUUCGGAAGAACACCAGUGGCGAAGGCGGCUCACUGGACUGGUAUUGACGCUGAGGUGCGAAAGCGUGGGGAGCAAACAGG
rnacentral:rRNA from 1 species